ACGAACGCUUGGCGGCGUGGCCUAAAACAUGCAAGUCGAACGGGGUCCAUCCUUCGGGAGGAAGACCUAGUGGCGAACGGGUGAGUAACACGUGAGAAACCUGCCUCGAAGUCUGGGAUAAGCCAGAGAAAAUUUGGUCUAAUACCGGAUAUCUUCAUAACAUCUUCUGUUGAUGUGAAGAAAGUUUUUCCGCUUCGAGAGGUGUCUCGCGUCCUAUCAGCUUGUUGGUGGGGUAAACGGCCUACCAAGGCUUCGACGGGUAGCUGGUCUGAGAGGAUGAUCAGCCACAACUGGGGACUGAGACACGGCCCAGACUCCUACGGGAGGGCAGCAGUUAGGAAUCUUGCGCAAUGGGCGAAAAGCCUGACGCAGCAACGCCGCGGUGAGGGAUGAAGGCUCUCGGGUUUUGUAAACCUCUUUCAGCAGGAACGAAAUUUGACGGGUACCUGCAGAAGAAGCUCCGGCCAACUACGUGCCAGCAAGCCGCGGUAAUACGUAGGGAGCAAGCGUUGUCCGGAUUUAUUGGGCGUAAAAGAGCUCGUAGGCGGCCUUAGAAAGUCAGGUGUGAAAAACUCUGGGCCUCAAACCCAGAAGACGCCACUUGAUACUUCUAUGGCUUGAGUUCGGUAGGGGGACCAUGGAAUUCUGGUGUAGCGGUGAAUAUGCGCAGAUAUCAGGAGGAACACCGAUGGCCGAAGGCAGUGGUCUGGGCCGAUACUGACGCUGAGGAGCGAAAAGCGUGGGGAGCGAACAGAUUAGAUACCCUGGUAGUCCACGCCCGUAAAACGUUGGGAAACUAGGUGUGGGAGAUAUCAACGUCUUCCGUGCCGUAGCUAACGCAUUAAGUUUUCCCCGCCUGGGGAAGUACGGUCGCAAGACUAAAACUCAAAGGAAUUGACGGGGGCCCGCACAAGCGGGCGGAGCAUGUUUGCUUAAUUCGAUGCAAACGCGAAGAACCUCACCUAGGUUGAACUACGCAGGAAAAGCCACAAAGAUGUGGUGUCCUUCGGGGUCUGCGAUAGGUGGUGCAUGGCUGUCGUCAGCUCGUGUUCGUGAGAUGUUGGGUUAAGUCCCGCAACGAGCGCAACCCUUGUCCUGUGUUGCCAGCGGAUUUAUGCCGGGGAACUCGCCAGGAGAACUGCCGGGGUCAACUCGGAGGAAGGUGGGGACGACGUCAAGUCAUCAUUGCCCCUUACAUCUAGGGCUGCAAACAUGCUACAAUGGCUGGUACCAACGCGCUGCGAGAACCGCGAGGUUUUAGCGAAUCGCUUUUAAAGCCAGUCUCAGUUCGGAUUGGAGUCUGCAACUCGACUCCAUGAAGCUGGAGUCGCUAGUAAUCCCGGAUCAGCAUUGCCGGGUGAAUACGUUCCCGGGCCUUGUACACACCGCCCGUCACACCACGAAAGUCGGCAACCACCCGAAGCCAGUGGCCCAACCGUAAGGAGGGAGCUGUCGAAGGUGGUGUCGGUGAUUGGGGUG
rnacentral:rRNA from 1 species